UUAACUAAAAUAUUUUAUAUUAUUUAACACGAAGUUGAGGGAGCUAAUUAUUAUAUAUUUAUAGAUACCAAGAUGUUGCAUAAUUAAAUAAAUAAUAAUUUGGAGUGAUAGGCUUUUCACACUCAGCGAUAACUUGAUAGUUAAGAAAUGUAUAAGUACAUGGGCACUCUUGAAGUGAUAAGGUUUUAAGGGAUUAACAAAUAAUUAUAAUUAAUAAGUAUUUUGUUUAAUCACUUAUACAAUAACAAUAUAAUAUAAUUUUAUUUGGUUUGUUUAAUAUAUUAACUAAUAUUUUAAUAAUAGCAUAUAUUAAAAAUGUUGAUAUUAGUACCUAAAAGUUGUAAAUGAAGAACUCGGCAAUAUGUCCUUCAACUGUUUACCAAAAACAUAGCCAUAUGAAUUAAUAUAUGGUGUUUUCUGCUCAAUGAAUAUUAAAUAGCCGCAGUACCUUGACUGUGCUAAGGUAGCGCAAUCAAUUGACUUUUAAUUGAAGUCCAGAAUGAAAGAAAUUAUGGGGGACUACUUUCUUGUUAACAAUAAGAGAAUUUACUUAUGAAGUGCAAAUUCUUCUAUUAAAAUAAUAGACGAGAAGACCCUAGAAAUUUUAAAGAAUUUACCUUUUUGUUGGGGCAACAAAGUAACAUUAUUAAACUUACUUUAAUAACAAGAAAGAUAUAUCUUGAAAGUUUAAAUUACUCUAGGGAUAACAGCAUAAUUUGUUAAAGUUUGUGACCCUCCAAUUUUUGGAAUUAGGGGAAAUCUUACGUUUUAGAAAAA
rnacentral:rRNA from 1 species